GAUCCUACGGGGCGCAGCAGUGGGGAAUAUUGCACAAUGGGGGAAACCCUGAUGCAGCGACGCCGCGUGAGUGAAGAAGUAUUUCGGUAUGUAAAGCUCUAUCAGCAGGGAAGAAAAUGACGGUACCUGACUAAGAAGCCCCGGCUAACUACGUGCCAGCAGCCGCGGUAAUACGUAGGGGGCAAGCGUUAUCCGGAUUUACUGGGUGUAAAGGGAGCGUAGACGGCGAGACAAGUCAGAAGUGAAAGCAAAGGGCUCAACCCUGGGACUGCUUUUGAAACUGCAGGGCUGGAGUGCAGGAGGGG
rnacentral:rRNA from 1 species